AGGCGCUUCAAGGGAUUGGCCGUAAUAGAUUGACACGUCAGGUAGGGGGCGGUAAAUAAAUUGAAUUAUGGCAAAAUGAGAGCUCAAAAUAACUCCACCAUCUCCACCCGACAAUCUUCUCACCAGAAAGAUCCCAUACCUCCACCGGCAGAGCCCAGUUCUUCGCUUUCGAUCAUGAUCGUUGAUGCUUAGCAUUUCACUGCCUUCAUGCAGCAAAUAAAUAUACUGACAGAGGGCAGUUCACAGCCUAUAGCAACAAUCGAAGGACCUCUCACCGACCUCGAUUGUUCCCUCAAAUCGAUGUUGCCGACCAUCGACUGUC
rnacentral:lncRNA from 1 species